AGCCCUGCAUAUGAAUUGACUUUAGUGCAACAAGGUUUUUUUUUGAAGAGUUCAAAACUGGGCUUGUUGGCAAAACAUACCCAAGAUUUAAAACCAUGCAAGAGCAGCAGAGGAGACAGAAAAGCCAACACAGUGCUCAAUCUUUGCUGUAACCUCUGGUGCUCUUACACUUCUACUAAGUCUUCAGCUAUCUUGAAAUCUUCACAUUCAUGAUUACGCCAGUGUGGGAAAGCUUGACAUGUAACGCAUAAUUAAAAUUGUCUGCAAAAAUCUAUUACUCCACUAAUAUUUGCUCUUAAUGCAUCCUAAGCUCAUCAUUCAUGGACAGUUUUGGUGUAUCAACAGAUACCUGUGUUAAGCCAUCAUGUUUUAUAUGUACUACUUGUGUACUGUAAGGCCUCUAUUGUGUGCAGUUUAUGGAAUGUUUUGUGGCAUCUGUAAUGCAUGUACCCAGCAUAGACGACUGACUGUUCAAGGAACUGAAGCAGUGGACAGCUUGCUGUGAAAGAUGGGAGCAUUCUUCCUCUGGUCUGGACAAGCCCAUAUUAAGUGGGAGAUGUUCAAUAUCAACCCGAUGAGAGGCAGCAAAUGUGGAAAUGGACGCAAGUCAAGGACAGCUGCAGACAGCAAAAUAUUGAAACUGAUACAACGAUUGUGCUGAAUCACCGAAGAUAUGAGCCAGAGUGCGAACAGUAUACUCGUACAGUUUCGCAGAAUAAACCCCAUCUUUAUGCGUUCAGAGCAGCUGGAUGUUCACU